rnacentral:rRNA from 1 species
GAGGGAAAGAUGAAAAGAACUUUGAAAAAGAGAGUUAAUAAGUGCUUGAAAUUGUUGAGGGGGAAGCGGUUGGAAGACGCGGGUGCGCCUAGGCUUAUGCGUUUCUGACGAUGCGCUGCAUGUGCUAGGUGCUGGUCAACAUGGGUUCGUCGGCCGGGACAACCGCGGGGGUUGAUACUCCGUCGAUGCCGGCUGUCGGACCAAGGCGUGAACGUCGCUUUGUCCUUUGGAACUGCGUCGUCAAGAUGUUGGCAGAAGUCUUUCCACCGACCCGUCUUGAAACACGGACCAAGGAGUCCAGCAUGUAUGCGAGUUGGUGGGUUUUAACCCCAUGAAGCGCAAGUAACCUGACUUUGGUGGGAACCGUAAGGUGCACCAUCGACCGACCAUGAUCUUCUGUGAAAGGUUUGAGUGCGAGCAUACCUGUUGGGACCCGAAAGAUGGUGAACUAUGCCUGAGCAGGGUGAAGCCAGAGGAAACUCUGGUGGAGGCUCGUAGAUGUGCUGACGUGCAAAUCGCUUUUCGGACUUGGGUAUAGGGGCGAAAGACUAAUCGAACCAUCUAGUAGCUGGUUCCCUCCGAAGUUUCCCCCAGGAUAGCUGGAGCUUGAUUCAGUUUUAUCGGGUAAAGC